GGGCGUGUGGUGAAGUGGUAUCACAAGGGUCUCCAAAACCCUGGUCGGGAGUUCAAUUCUCUCCACGCCUGCCC
rnacentral:tRNA from 1 species